GAUGGCUCCUAACAACAACAACAACAACAACAACAACAACAAACAGAGAUUAGCACGGUCCCUGCUCAAGGAUGACACCCAAAUCCGUGAAGGGUUCUAUUUUUAU